GCCAAGGACUACAGUAUUUUUUUCCUCUGCACAUGUAAAGUACUAUAACUUUUGUUGUUAUUAAACAGUUCUAUAUGUGAAGUACUUAUUUGAUUUUGUUUAUUUACUUGUGCCAACCCUUGGGUGAAAUGGAAAUUUAGUACUUGCAUUGACAUCUGAUUAUGCUCUACCUCAUAGAUAUCGGAAGAGGCCCAGUGUAUUCAUUCUCUUACUUCUCAUGCAAAAGCGAUGUGCAACAGACGAUUUCCAGCUUGUAGCUUAUCCGAAUACUGUGAGAAUGAUCCUAAGAUCAAUGCCUUUAAGUGCAAAAUGGAGUUUCAAUAUUGUGCCACCUGGAAUGUUCAAGAAUGGCCACAACUUUGACCAAUUCUGUGAUGAGCUUAAGAGUUUCGUACGUCAAUAUAUUUCCUCGAAAUCAAAAUGGGUUCCUAGAAGAAGUGUGGGCAGAGGUUCUCUAUGUAUGUGUUCCAUUUAGUUUUCAUUGUAACAGCUUUGACCAAUUCUGUUUAGAAAGAGAUCUUUAGAUUCAACAAGUGAAGGGCUAAAUCUCAAAUACGUUCAACCUCUAUUGUUCGAUGGGUUUAAAGUUGCAAACUGCCCACCGAGUAUGAUUAAUGGAGAAAUUGAUAGAUAAAGUAAUGCUCUUGUUGGGCAUUUCAUGGGC